rnacentral:lncRNA from 1 species
AUUAAAGAAUCUCUUCACAGCCACCUCUUUUUGAUCUAACAUCCCUUUGAGGACUACUCCACAUCCUCCUCUUCCAAGAAUGUUCUUCGGAUCAAAGUUCCCCGUUGCUCGUUUCAAGUCCUUCAGCUGGAAUCUCUGAGGUGCAGUAGCUGAAUUCUGAAUCUGAAUCUCUAUAUUCUCCGACUGAUCUAACACUUGCGUCCUCUUCUUUUUUCUCCACCAGCUGAAAUAUACGAAAACCCCACCAAGGAACACAACCAGAACCGAUAUUACUGGUAUCAAGAUCCACAACCAUAACAAGCUAACUUCAUUACUGUUCCCAAUAUCUGUGCUUGUAAAAUUCCAUGCCUUUAUGCAGUUAAGCUGAUUAUAUAUCCCAGUUGAAGCUGAAAAUCCCACGAAAACAUCCUCGGGGAGAUAGCUAGAAAGAUCAAGUGGCAUGGAAAUGAUGGGAUUUCUUUCAUUGACUCCAGUUUCAUUACUCAUGAAUGUAUAGACCUUCAAGAUGUUGGAUUCUCCAUCAUACUGGACACUUGCUAUAACAUCAACAGCUCGUGAAAGGUUAACACCACGAUCCAUCAACGAGACCUGAUUGACAGAGUUGAUGCUGUUUAUGUCAAUGCCAACAUGAUUAUCAUCAAGAUCAUCAAGGUAACUUUUCCUUGUAUCGAAUUCAACAGCAAAUAUGUUGUUUAAAGAAGAUCCAUUAGUAGUUUCAUUCACAAUCCCAAGCCAUUGUCCAUAACUUUCAUCUGGGAUUGACUCAUAACCACUUUCUUUAGUCAAUAUGAAAGCCAAUCCUUCACCCCAUGGAUCACUCUCAGGUUUGAUAUUGAUCACAAACGUUGAAUUAAACGAGGCUGUUCUGUUUUUCCUUCUGUUCCAUAGAUUCAUAGGCUGUGAAUACCAUAUCCUUCCAGACAAAUUACUGAUGGAAGUACCACGAGCAUCGCCAGUUACUUGGAUAGCUCCAAAUUCUAUGUAGGAAUGCUCAGUAGUUAUGAAAUCAUUUUCGUUUUGCUUGGUGAAAUUUUGGUAAUUGAAACUCAGACAAUCCACUCUAAGAACCAAAAAUAUGAAUAUGAUCAAAAGAUGAACAAAGUUAGUUAAAUAACUAAUCUUGCCUAGAUAAUACAUAUCAACAUAUAACAAAAACUAUGUUUUUUUCUUGCCUCAAGAAGGAAAAUGUGGGAGAUUUGUAGUGAGAAUUUGUUUCUCCAUUUUAUGGUGAAAGUUUCUAAGUGAUUUGAUCAAAUUGUUUGACUUGGAUUAAGAAGAAACUUCCUUGGUGUUUACACUAAUUUUUUUUUUCUUAAUAUUUCUUAUUAUAAGCUUGUUGUUGGUCUGCAUGUUUAGUUUAGUUUUUUUACUUUUCUCAUAUUGUUAUGUUUGUCAAGUGUACCAUCUUCCAAAGAGAGAGAAGUUGGUUAUUAACAAUAUAAUGACAAUGACAGAUGGAGCUUCUUUUUUUUUUUUUUCGUAUUUCGUUAAUUCAUGAACAUGAUCUAUACAUAUAUUUUUUUGGUUUAACGGUCAACGUUUAUAUUUCAGUGAUAUGAGUGGAAGUCUUCCACGCUAUUGAGUUUAAUUCUCAUUAUCCAGUCCUCCUUUGCGCUUCGCCAAUUCAAAAACUCUUUUUUAAUCGAUUAAUUUAAUGUAGGCAUCGAGUGCAAAUAAGUAUUCUCCAACAAAACAAAAAGGGUUGACUAAUUCUCAAGAUAUUAAAUUAUGAUAAUUGAGAUUAUAGCUGGAGAAGUUCCUAACCUAAUGAUUUCAUCAUAUAUAAUCUAAUCAUAGAAGACUUAAAACACAUUUUAUAAAGUAUAUAUCUUAUGUCAAUACUGAGAUAAGGCUCCAGGUUUUUCUAGUGAUUUUACUUUUAAGAAUCAUUACUAGGUCCGGAAAGGGUAGAGCGUUCACGAGGUACAACCUUACUCUUACCUCAUAAAUAUAAAAGAGGUUAUUUCUAAAAGAUCCUCUAACACGAAAAGAUCUAAGAGAAAAGGUCAAGUUGAAUAUUGUGCUUCUUAAUUCUAUUUUAUUUGGGUAAAUCUUAUUCUAUAUAGAGUAAGGCAAUAAUCUCAUGAUACUGACAUACAUUCCUUUUCAACUGUGGAAUUAGUUGCCAAUAGCUAAAAAUUAAAGGAUUUAAAAAAUAAUCUUAAGAGUCAUAGUUUGAGAAGCACACAUUAUACUUUUAUAACAUUGUCAUAAACCUCCAAUAACUUAAUAAUAUUGUCAACUUGUGGUAAAGAUACAUACACAAGAUACUGAGAUUUUGGAACAUAGGACUAUAUUGACUUUGCCACAGGCAUAUUACUAUUAAAAAUCUCACUUAUUCUACGGCGAUUACAUCGAAGUUUAUCUCAGGUUGCCUCUGAACCGAGCAUCUAGUGUUUACACCAAACUAUAUGAGAGAACACACAUUGUUCUUAUUCGUCCUUAACUAUGUAGGAAAGGACUUCAUUCGGGCAGCUGAGUUAAGUUUCGUUCUUUUCAAGUUGGCUGUUGAGGAACUCGAGCACUGAUUGCCGCUGCAAGAAGACACAGGACCAAAAUCAGCUUUGCUGGAUAAGAGAAUACAACAGUGAAGUAUAAGAUGAGUUAAA